AUGGGCGGCAUGCUAUAAUGCAGUCGAGCGGACAGAUGGGAUGCUUGCUCCCUGAUGUUAGCGGCGGACGGGUGAGUAACACGUGGGUAACCUGCCUGUAAGACUGGGAUAACUCCGGGAAACCGGGGCUAAUACCGGAUGGUUGUUUGAACCGCAUGGUUCAGACAUAAAAGGUGGCUUCGGCUACCACUUACAGAUGGACCCGCGGCGCAUUAGCUAGUUGGUGAGGUAACGGCUCACCAAGGCGACGAUGCGUAGCCGACCUGAGAGGGUGAUCGGCCACACUGGGACUGAGACACGGCCCAGACUCCUACGGGAGGCAGCAGUAGGGAAUCUUCCGCAAUGGACGAAAGUCUGACGGAGCAACGCCGCGUGAGUGAUGAAGGUUUUCGGAUCGUAAAGCUCUGUUGUUAGGGAAGAACAAGUGCCGUUCAAAUAGGGCGGCACCUUGACGGUACCUAACCAGAAAGCCACGGCUAACUACGUGCCAGCAGCCGCGGUAAUACGUAGGUGGCAAGCGUUGUCCGGAAUUAUUGGGCGUAAAGGGCUCGCAGGCGGUUUCUUAAGUCUGAUGUGAAAGCCCCCGGCUCAACCGGGGAGGGUCAUUGGAAACUGGGGAACUUGAGUGCAGAAGAGGAGAGUGGAAUUCCACGUGUAGCGGUGAAAUGCGUAGAGAUGUGGAGGAACACCAGUGGCGAAGGCGACUCUCUGGUCUGUAACUGACGCUGAGGAGCGAAAGCGUGGGGAGCGAACAGGAUUAGAUACCCUGGUAGUCCACGCCGUAAACGAUGAGUGCUAAGUGUUAGGGGGUUUCCGCCCCUUAGUGCUGCAGCUAACGCAUUAAGCACUCCGCCUGGGGAGUACGGUCGCAAGACUGAAACUCAAAGGAAUUGACGGGGGCCCGCACAAGCGGUGGAGCAUGUGGUUUAAUUCGAAUUGCAACGCGAAGAACCUUA
rnacentral:rRNA from 1 species